rnacentral:rRNA from 1 species
CCUACGGUGGGCUGCAGUGGGGGAUAUUGCACAAUGGGGGAAACCCUGAUGCAGCAACGCCGCGUGAGUGAUGAAGUCUUUCGGUAUGUAAAGCUCUAUCAGCAGGGAAGAGAAUGACGGUACCUGACUAAUACGCCCCGGCUAACUACGUGCCAGCAGCCGCGGUACUACGUAGGGGGCGAGCGUUAUCCGGAUUUGCUGGGUGUAAAGGGAGCGUAGACGGGUGGUCAAGUCUGAAGUGAAAGCCGGGGGCUUAACCCCGGAACGGCUUUGGAAACUGAGCAGCUAGAGUGCGGGAGAGGUAAGCGGAAUUCCUAGUGUAGCGGUGAAAUGCGUAGAUAUUAGGAGGAACACCAGUGGCGAAGGCGGCUUACUGGACAGUAACUGACGUUGAGGCUCGAAAGCGUGGGGAGCAAACAGGAUUAGAUACCCGUGUAGUC